rnacentral:misc_RNA from 2 species
AAUUCUCAACCUUUUCAGCUUUCUUUGUUGAUCAGGCUUGGAUGUGGGAGUAUGCGGGCUUCUCAGAAGUCGGCUCUCCUGAAAUGCAUUAGCGGGACCUUUGUUGCCUGGCUUUGGUGUGAUAAUUAUCUACGCCAUUGUAGUCAAGCAGCUUAAAAUGAGGUUUCAGCUUCUAACCGUCUCCCCUGAGACAACUUUUUGACA